CAGAGAGCAAGACCCUGGGGUCCCAGAGGGUGAAGCCAGGAAAUGUAAAACAGCAGUCGGCAGACCAAGGGCUCCUGGAAUAGAGCAGCGCUUGCUACCACUGGAUACCCCCUCACUCCUUCAUCUGCAACCCAGUCCGCACCUGCCUGCCCACGAUGAUGCUGCCACAAGACCCCUGGGAGACGCUGACCCAGUGUCGUGAGUGUGGUCUGCCCACGAGUGCUCAGUCCAGCAUGGGGCAGCCGCCCGGGGCUCUUGGGCAAGAGAGCGUGGGAAGACACUGAGCUGGCUACAGAAGGCGUUCAAUAAACGUUAGCCACACGGGUGAACUGCAGGGGGAGGCGGGGCCUCCUCGUGUCCACUAGGCGGCCAAUGGACAUUGCCACCCCUGGACGCUCCCCAGUCCUGAGCGACAUGGGAUCUCUUCCAGCCCGUGGAGGCCUGCACACAGGAGAAA